AUUGAACGCUGGCGGCAGGCCUAACACAUGCAAGUCGAGCGCGCGGCGGACGGGUGAGUAAUGUAUGGGGAUCUGCCCGAUAGAGGGGGAUAACUACUGGAAACGGUGGCUAAUACCGCAUACUAUCAGAUGAACCCAUAUGGGAUUAGCUAGUAGGUGGGGUAAAGGCUCACCAAGGCGACGAUCUCUAGCUGGUCUGCGAGGAUGAUCAGCCACACUGUGAUGGAGACACGGUCCAGACUCCUACGGGAGGCAGCAGUGGGGAAUAUUGCACAAUGGGCGCAAGCCUGAUGCAGCCAUGCCGCGUGUAUGAAGAAGGCCUUAGGGUUGGAAAGUACUUUCAGCGGGGAGGCGUUACCCGCAGAAGAAGCACCGGCUAACUCCGUGGCAGCAGCCGCGGUAAUAC
rnacentral:rRNA from 1 species